AUUGAGCGCUGGCGGCAGGCCUAACACAUGCCAGUCGAACGGUAACAGAAAGCAGCUUGCUGCUUUGCUGACGAGUGGCGGACGGGUGAGUAAUGUCUGGGAAACUGCCUGAUGGAGGGGGAUAACUACUGGAAACGGUAGCUAAUACCGCAUAACGUCGCAAGACCAAAGAGGGGGACCUUCGGGCCUCUUGCCAUCGGAUGUGCCCAGAUGGGAUUAGCUAGUAGGUGGGGUAACGGCUCACCUAGGCGACGAUCCCUAGCUGGUCUGAGAGGAUGACCAGCCACACUGGAACUGAGACACGGUCCAGACUCCUACGGGAGGCAGCAGUGGGGAAUAUUGCACAAUGGGCGCAAGCCUGAUGCAGCCAUGCCGCGUGUAUGAAGAAGGCCUUCGGGUUGUAAAGUACUUUCAGCGGGGAGGAAGGGAGUAAAGUUAAUACCUUUGCUCAUUGACGUUACCCGCAGAAGAAGCACCGGCUAACUCCGUG
rnacentral:rRNA from 1 species